GAUGAACGCUGACAGAAUGCUUAACACAUGCAAGUCCACUUGAAUUUGGGUUUUUAACUUAGGUUUGGGUGGCGGACGGGUGAGUAACGCGUAAAGAACUUGCCUCACAGCUAGGGACAACAUUUGGAAACGAAUGCUAAUACCUAAUAUUAUGAUAAUAGGGCAUCCUAUAAUUAUGAAAGCUAUAAGCGCUGUGAGAGAGCUUUGCGUCCCAUUAGCUAGUUGGAGAGGUAACGGCUCACCAAGGCGAUGAUGGGUAGCCGGCCUGAGAGGGUGAUCGGCCACAAGGGGACUGAGACACGGCCCUUACUCCUACGGGAGGCAGCAGUGGGGAAUAUUGGACAAUGGACCGAGAGUCUGAUCCAGCAAUUCUGUGUGCACGAUGAAGUUUGUCGGAAUGUAAAGUGCUUUCAGUUGGGAAGAAACAAAUGACGGUACCAACAGAAGAAGUGACGGCUAAAUACGUG
rnacentral:rRNA from 1 species